AUGCAAGGAGUAUCAACAUAUUAUCGUGUGAUAAUUGAUCAAUUUAUGACUGAAGUGUUAAGAUUUUCAUAUCUUUGCAUCUUACUGAAGAAUAUGCUGGCUGCAAUCAAAACAACGUGUCCAGCAGAACUGGAAACCAUGAAAACUUUGGAAUGCGAAGGAAAUCAACCUGGGGCUACUUUAUACCUGCAAAAUAGGUCAAAGGAUAUUAUAGGAGUAGAAGCCAAUUAUGCUUUGAAGCUUGCAGACAACCCUCCAAAGAGAUUUAAGUUGGAUGAACAUGAAGUAGCAAUGCUGGGUAAAAAGCGAGCCAGGCGAACUGUGAUAAUUAAUGAUGAGGACGUAAAGCAAGCUGGCAUAAUGACAAUAUCAACACCCCAGGCUAGUGUCUCGUGGUGCUGGUGA
rnacentral:rRNA from 1 species